UAAAGAUCCGUCGGAUGAGGAUAGGCUCGCGUGACAUUAGCUAGACGGCGGGGUAACGGCCCACCGUGGCGACGAUGUCUAGGGGUUCUGAGAGGAAGGUCCCCCACACUGGAACUGAGACACGGUCCAGACUCCUACGGGAGGCAGCAGUGAGGAAUAUUGGUCAAUGGCCGGAAGGCUGAACCAGCCAUGCCGCGUGAAGGUCAGUGCCCUAUGGGCGUUAAACUUCUUUUGUGCGGGAGCAAUAAGGUCCACGUGUGGACCGACGAGAGUACCGUACGAAUAAGCAUCGGCUAACUCCGUGCCAGCAGCCGCGGUAAUACGGGGGAUGCAAGCGUUAUCCGGAUUUAUUGGGUUUAAAGGGUGCGUAGGCUGUGAGGUAAGUCAGCGGUGAAAUGCCCCCGCUCAACGGGGUGAAGUGCCAUUGAUACUGCCUUGCUGGAAUGCGGAUGCCGUGGGAGGAAUGUGUGGUGUAGCGGUGAAAUGCAUAGAUAUCACACAGAACACCGAUUGCGAAGGCAUCUCACGAAUCCGCGAUUGACGCUGAUGCACGAAAGCGUGGGUAUCAAACAGGAUUAGAUACCCUGGUAGUCCACGCUGUAAACGAUGAUGACUAACCGUCGGCGAUACACAGUCG
rnacentral:rRNA from 1 species